GAUGAACGCUGGCGGCGUGCCUAAUACAUGCAAGUCGAACGACCAGACAAUAAGCUUGCUCCUCUAACGUUAGCGGCUGACGGGCGAGUAACACGUAGAUAACAUACCUCUAAUUCUGGGAUAACUACGGAAAACCGCAGCUACUAACACCUCAUAUAUCGAACGGCAUGGUUCAAUAGUUAUAGACGCUUUUGCUGUCACUAAUAGCUGGAUCCGCGCCGCAUUAGCUAGUUGGUAAGGUAACGGCUUACCAAGGCAACGAUGCGUAGCCGACCUGAGAGGGUGAUCAGCCACACUGGAACUGAGACACGGUCCAGACUCCUACGGGAGGCAGCAGUAGGGAAUCUUCGACAAUGGGCGCAAGCUUGACGGAGCAACGCCGCGUGAGUGAUGAAGGUCUUCGGGUCGUAAAACUCUGUUAUUGGGGAAGAACAAAUGCGUAAGUAACUACGCACGUCUUGACGGUACCUAAUCAGAAAGCCACGGCUAACUUCGUG
rnacentral:rRNA from 1 species